rnacentral:rRNA from 1 species
AAUUUUGGACAAUCGGGGAAACCCUGAUCCAGCAAUGCCGCGUGCAGGAAGAAGGCCAUCGGGUUGUAAACUGCUUUUGUACGGAACGAAAAGUCUUGGGCUAAUACCCUGGGAUCAUGACGGUACCGUAAGAAUAAGCACCGGCUAACUACGUGCCAGCCGCCGCGGUAAUACGUCGGAUGCAAGCGUUAAUCGGAAUUACUGGGCGUAAAGCGUACGCAGGCGGUUUUGUAAGACAGUGGUCGAAUCCCCGGGCUCAACCUGGGAACUGCCAUGGUGACUGCAAGGCUGGAGCGCGGCAGAGGGGGAUGGAAUUCCGCGUGUAGCAGUGAAAUGCGUAGAUAUGCGGAGGAACACCGAUGGCGAAGGCAAUCCCCUGGGCCUGCACUGACGCUCAUGCACGAAAGCGUGGGGAGCAAACAGG